GAAGUUUUAGUUCUAUUUUCUACGUCUCUCAUCCUGUCCUUGGACAUUUCAAUUUUGGCAAGUCAUUCUUGUGUUAAAAACAGUAGCUGUUGAUUAAUUUCUUCUGUUAUCCUCUUAGGGAAGGGUGUUCUUUUACAGUUCAUCUGGACUCACCGAGUACAAGUCUUCACUAGAGUACAAAGUAGCAUAUUGUCAUGCACUUUGCUUUAAAUCAUGUGUUUGCAUUGCAAACUAACUCGACGAUUAAUAGGAUUAGGUGGAAUACAUAAGUUCAUUCCUGAAUUUUAUCAAAACAAUCUUGUGGUACCCUGAACUUUUCA
rnacentral:misc_RNA from 1 species